rnacentral:rRNA from 1 species
ACAGCAGCCGCCGCGGUAAUACGUAGGUGGCAAGCGUUGUCCGGAAUUAUUGGGCGUAAAGGGCUCGCAGGCGGUUUCUUAAGUCUGAUGUGAAAGCCCCCGGCUCAACCGGGGAGGGUCAUUGGAAACUGGGAAACUUGAGUGCAGAAGAGGAGAGUGGAAUUCCACGUGUAGCGGUGAAAUGCGUAGAGAUGUGGAGGAACACCAGUGGCGAAGGCGACUUUCUGGUCUGUAACUGACGCUGAGGAGCGAAAGCGUGGGGAGCGAACAGGAUUAGAUACCCGUGUAGUCCCUGUCUCUUAUAU